GAUGAACGCUGGCGACGUGCUUAACACAUGCAAGUCGAACGGAAAGGCUCCUGCUUGCAGGGGUACUCGAGUGGCGAACGGGUGAGUAACACGUGGGUGAUCUGCCCUGCACUUCGGGAUAAGCCUGGGAAACUGGGUCUAAUACCGGAUAGGACCACAUUUUGGAUGGUGUGGUGGAAAGUUUUUCGGUGUGGGAUGAGCUCGCGGCCUAUCAGCUUGUUGGUGGGGUAAUGGCCUACCAAGGCGUCGACGGGUAGCCGGCCUGAGAGGGUGUACGGCCACAUUGGGACUGAGAUACGGCCCAGACUCCUACGGGAGGCAGCAGUGGGGAAUAUUGCACAAUGGGCGCAAGCCUGAUGCAGCGACGCCGCGUGGGGGAUGACGGCCUUCGGGUUGUAAACUCCUUUCGCUAGGGACGAAGCGUUUUUGUGACGGUACCUGGAGAAGAAGCACCGGCUAACUACGUG
rnacentral:rRNA from 1 species